CCCCCCCCGCCCGCGGCCUUGUUCCCGCCUCCCCGCGCGCGCCGGGGAGGGGGUGGGGCUGGGGCCGCGCCGCCCUGCCGCAGCCGCAGCGGUGGGCGCGAGCGCAGCCGUUGUUUGCGGCCGUUGCCCAGCGGGGGCCGUCGCGGCCUCCCGGGGCGCUGACGGGGUUCAGACAGCGCCUGCUGCAGCAGUUGGCGCUGGCCUGCCGGCCGGGCGUGGGCGCCACGCUGUUCACGUAGAAGCCCCGGUAACAGAGGGUCACCGAGACCCAUGAGAGCCGCCGACACUCGGCCUCAGGCGUCUUAUUUUAGCUCUGAGGAGCUCGCCCCCGGCUCUGGUACAGAUACGUUUUGGCAGGGUGCCGUGUGGAGGGUGGUCAUUUUGAAGCCCAGAGUGGGCAGAAAAUUCGAGAGCUGUCUGAAGAAGUUCUGUUCGUUGGAGGAUGUUUGCUGAGCUUGGUUGUGGUAAAGGAAAUUACCCUAAACAAUAAAAUAACAUAGGCGAAAAUUUAUGAAGCAAAACAGCUUGGAAAAGACAGCAGCAACAUUCAGUUCCAGAAGAGAAAUAGCUGAGGGACAGGCUAUUAAAACAUAUUUCCCAAAAGCUGAAGGCCAGGAAUUGUGCAAGAUGUAUCAGUACAAAUACAUCAAAAGCUUCUUACAAUGCAUUGAAUAAAGCUGCUUGCCAUUUA